GAUGAAGUACUAUUGUCUAAUCUACAGAAGUUAUUCAGAUUUUACAAAUUAUCCAACAAUGUCCAUUAGAGCAAAAGAAGCAGUAGAUGAUGUGUUGCAGUCAGCUGUCAUGAUGCUUGGUCUCCUUCGGUCUGUAACUUUCCUCAGUUUUUCUUUGCUUUUCAUGAUAUUGACAUUUUUGAAAGGUACAAGCCAGGUAUUUUGUAGCUGCUCCUUGAUUUGAAUUUGUCUAAUUUUCCCUUACUAUAAGUUAUACAUUUCUUGGGCAGGGGAAGUGGAGGACCACAGAAGUGCUGUGUUAUAGUAUCUUAUAUUUAUAUUCUCAUGUUUAUAUUGUUAUAUUUAUUUUCUUAUAUUUUAUAGCUACAUAAAGUAUAUAGGUACAUAUUAUAGACAUAUACAUAGGUGUGUUUUUAUAUCUUUCUGUUUUUUAAUCCUCUUAGGAUUUUGUCUUUUCUAAUUGAGGUUCUGAAAUUUCGUUGUAAAUUUCUUCAGGUUUUUUCCUCCUCCUCCUGCUGGAUACUAGGUGGCUCUUCCAAUUUCAGAAUGUCUUUAUUGUUGGAAAAGUACCAGCUAUAUUUUACAAAGAUGCCUCUCCUUCAUUCUUUUGCUUUUCUCUGAGAAUUCCUUUCAUUUGCAAGAAUGCUGAUGUAUUUGAUUUUAUUUGUACUGUCUGUUCUGUCAUUUCUAAAGUUUAGUGUGAGAGGAAGCCAUUCACAACCAGAAACUCUAUUUUUUUUUUUUUUUUUUGCAUGCCAUUAUGCUUCUCUAGUUUCCUUCCAUUUGUGGUCAUGUCAGUAAGUAAAAUGAUCCAAAGUUGACCCCGUUUCUACCAGUGUGAAAUAGCUUUGUGCACAGUGCUGGAAGCUAAAACGUACUAACCAUGGUCUUUGAAACUCUAAACAUUAUUAAUGUCCCUUUGAAAAAGAGCUUUUCCCCACAAGGGUGAAAGACAUGUUAAAUUGGUACUUCUCAACAGAUGUGUAGGGAGGUUGUUGGUAUAAAAACUAAGGUUUGGGAUCAGCGUGGAAAUAUUAGAAAUGAUGGGCCAGUAAACACUUCUAGGUUCUUCCGGUGAAUUCCAGCAGGAUAAAGUUUUUUUGCCCAGACACUACAGCAGAACAAGGGAAAGAACAGAGAAGAAGAGAUCCUGAAAUUCCAGUGCUGGAAUUCAUCCACUCAACCCGGUCAACUCCAUCUUGAAACUCUACCCUGUGGAUUCGUUUCAUGAAUGAUGACCCCAAGACCAAAGACCAGGGAAUCCUCAAAGAAGGAGAUGAAAUUCUCCAAGGACACGUGAUCAAGGACCCAGUAGAGAGGCGACGUGAAGAGCUGCCGUACCUGUGUGAGACAGGUCAGAAGUCAGCAGGCUUUUAGGUUUCAUCUGACAAGCUUCACCGGGAAACAUGUACGUAGUCAGAUCUCUGCUGUAUGAGGAGCUGGUCUUGCUGGUUGAACAGGAUGACACUGAAGCGUCAGUGUAACAGCCCUACAGAGUGGGUGUGUGUUGGUUAAAACACAGCCGCUGUGCAUGUGAAGUCUAUGGAAGCGGUCCCCUCUGCCCCGUCGCAUCCUCUCACUCAGCUCAGGACUUGAACAGCAGCAGCAUCUCACCUUGGCUUCGUUGCAUUAUACUCCAGGUGGCAGUUCCUCUUUGUUUUGUAUCCAGUGACCUGAUCAUUCUCAUCAGUGAUGGUGCAACUCUCCUCCAGCCGCAGUGUCUGGAACUCAUCAAGGUGACCUAGGCGGACAUACCUGCAAACAGGGUUUUUUGUCAAUCAGUAAACCCCUGUAAAUCAGACUCAUAAACCAAAGGGUUUUGGAAAUCUCUGACACUGGAAAGCUGACAAGUAGAGAAUAAAAAGGAUAAAGUUCUCAUCUCUACAGAAGUGAGAAAAAAACAACCCACCUCUGUGGACUUCAUUCAUCAUUACCACAGUCUGUAUCUCCUUUUAUUUUUUCUAUUUAUGUUUAACUUUGUCUUAUUCCAAGAAGCAUUGUAGGCAAUAUAUGAGAAUUGGAGAAAUGCAAGAUUCUAAUGCUACCCUGUAGGGCCUGGGCCUUGCUUGCUCAGCAAAAGCCCCCAGGCCCAUUGCAACCAUGUGUCCUUCUGGCUUCCUGCUGGGCAGGGAGCCCAGCUGCUGGGAUUUGUAACGAUCUGGGCCUGGCCAGCCUGGAUCCCCCCUUAUCCCACGAGAAGAACAUCGAGUCUUACAGGAAGACAGAGCCCCUCCACGUGAGCUACUGUUCCUGGGAACACUGGUCGUACCAAGGACAGCCCUAUGGCAAGCAUGCAGCCUUUGUUUCUCUGCUUACUUAAGCAAACUUCUCUUAGGGGGCGGUUGCAGGUGCACACUUCUGUCCAGCCAGCUGCCACUGGACACUCCUGUAAGUAGGACCCAGUAAACCUAUAUGUCUC
ensembl:lncRNA